UGGCUUCUCCUGUCAUUCAGGAUGCAAUGCUAUAUUUACCAAGGAGUAAGCCCCACUGAACUCUAUUACACCUACUCUAUACAGUAUGCAUGUAUAAAAUUGUACUGUCAACAAUCUGCAGUUAGAUGACAGUUUGUCCAUAUUUAAAUCUCACUGUCUGCCAGCAGUUAAUAAAGAACCUGGUCAGCAUUACUUCAUUGGACACCAGAUGCCAUUGGCUUCCCCACUAUGAGAGAGAAAUUUUGCAGCUAACUUAUUGCCAUGUCUCAACUCCAGCUUGUUAAUUACUUCCUAUCUUCAGUUAACGGGACAGAAAUGCAAUAAAUGCCCCAGCCAUCAGCUGUGGAGCCCUGAGGCAGUCAAGAUGUUCUACACAUUGGAAAUAUAUCAUUACAUCGUCUCCUGCUGAAUAAGCCAACUUGAUGAAGAGGCAGCAGAAAGUGACCAUUAGAGAGUGGCUGAAAGUACUUCACUGGCUUUACUGCCGUCAUAGCAAUUCUGGAAAAAAUAAUGCAUGGUGGCAAACCUAUCUGGACAGAUUUGUAAGUAAUAAUUUUAAUUAUUUUCCCUAUGUUGACAAGUAUUCAAGAGCCUAAGAACUGAUGGCACCAUGUGUUU
rnacentral:lncRNA from 1 species